rnacentral:rRNA from 1 species
GGCUGUAGAGAUUUUCGGCCCCUGCGGUAUGGAAUUACUGUCUUUGCGUAGAUAUGACGUUUACCACGCAGGAGAGAGUCCCCGGCUAAUAAUCGUGGCGAGCAGCGGCCGGGUAAAUAGUAGAGUUGUGCAAAGCUUGUUACUCGGAUAUAUCUGUGGCGCUGCAAAGGGAGCGCACAGGUGCGAUAUUUUUAGUGUGCGAUUGGAAAAUAUUCUCGGGGCUCAACCCUGGGGUGAUGCACUUCCCAAUAUGGAUCAUGUAUGAGAGUCUGGAGGAGGGGAAGGGAGAAAUUCCUCAGUGUGAGCGCGGUGUAAAUAGUGUAGAGAGAUAUGGAAAGAAUAAUCCACGUGGGCGAGAAGGCGCCGUCUUCUUGGACAUGUAAAUGACACGUUAGGCGUCGAAAAAGUGGGGGAGCAAACACAGAUUUAGAUCCCUGGUAGUGUCACGCCGUUAAAGAUGAAUACUAGGUGUAGUGGGUUGUCUUAAGCUCUGUGUCGCCGCUAAAGCAUUUAGUAUUACGCCUGGGGAGUACGGUCGCAAGAUUUAAACUCAAAGGAAUUGACGGGGGCCCGCACAAGCAGCGGAGCAUGUGGGUUAAUUUGAAGCAAAGCGAAGAACCUUUCCUAGAUUUGACAUUUCACGAAAUUUUCUGUAAAGGAGGAAGCCCCUUCGGGAGCAGGAAGACAGGUGGUGCAUGGUUGUCGUCAGCUCGUGUCGUGAGAUGUUGGGUUAAGUCCCGCAACGAGCGCAACCCUUAUCGUUUGUUGCUACCAUUUAGUUGAGCACUCUAGCGAGACUGCCCGGGUUUACCGGGAGGAAAGGGGGGAAGGAGUCAAAUUAUCAUGCCCCCUAUGUACCAGGGUACACACGUGGUACAAAGGGCGGUACAAAAAGAAACAACCCUGCGAGAGGCAGCAAAACUUCAACCCCAUCUCAGUUUGGAUUGUAGGCUGAAACUCGCCUACAUGAAGCUGGAGUUGCUAGUAAUAAUGAAUCUCAUGUUGCCACGGUUAAGUUCCCGGGCCUCGUACACCCCACCGCUCACCCCACGAGAGUUGGCGAUACCCAAAGAUGGUGAGAUAACACCGUAAGCGAGUCAGGGUCCUUAAGGUUUUCCCUCCCUCUCG